rnacentral:rRNA from 1 species
UACGGGGGGGGGUAAGCGUUGUUCGGAAUUACUGGGCGUAAAGGGCUCGUAGGCGGCCAACUAAGUCAGACGUGAAAUCCCUCAGCUUAACUGGGGAACUGCGUCCGAUACUGGAAGGCUUGAAUCCGGGAGAGGGAUGCGGAAUUCCAGGUGUAGCGGUGAAAUGCGUAGAUAUCUGGAGGAACACCGGUGGCGAAGGCGGCAUCCUGGACCGGCAUUGACGCUGAGGCGCGAAAGCCAGGGGAGCAAACGGG